GGAGAAAACCGUGGGAUCGCAAGACCUUGCGCUCAUUGAGCGGCCGAUGCCUGAUUAGCUAGUUGGUGAGGUAAAGGCUUACCAAGGCGACGAUCAGUAGCUGGUCUGAGAGGACGACCAGCCACACUGGGACUGAGACACGGCCCAGACUCCUACGGGAGGCAGCAGUGGGGAAUUUUGGACAAUGGGGGAAACCCUGAUCCAGCCAUGCCGCGUGAGUGAAGAAGGCCUUCGGGUUGUAAAGCUCUUUCAGCCGGAACGAAACGGUCACGGCUAAUACCUGUAACUACUGACGGUACCGGAAGAAGAAGCACCGGCUAACUACGUGCCAGCAGCCGCGGUAAUACGUAGGGUGCGAGCGUUAAUCGGAAUUACUGGGCGUAAAGCGUGCGCAGGCGGUUUUGUAAGUCAGAUGUGAAAUCCCCGGGCUUAACCUGGGAACUGCGUUUGAAACUACAAGGCUAGAAGGG
rnacentral:rRNA from 1 species